rnacentral:rRNA from 1 species
AACGCGAAGAACCUUACCUGGGUUUGACAUGUAGAGGACGUUGUCAGAGAUGACAAUUCCCCGCAAGGGGCCUUUACACAGGUGCUGCAUGGCUGUCGUCAGCUCGUGCCGUGAGGUGUUGGGUUAAGUCCCGCAACGAGCGCAACCCUUGUCAUUAGUUGCCAGCAUGUAAUGGUGGGCACUCUAAUGAGACUGCCUGGGUUAACCAGGAGGAAGGUGAGGAUGACGUCAAGUCCGCAUGGCCUUUAUAUCCAGGGCUACACACGUGCUACAAUGGUCGGUACAGAAGGCAGCAAGACCGUGAGGUGGAGCAAAUCCUGAAAGCCGGCCCCAGUUCAGAUUGUAGUCUGCAACUCGACUACAUGAAGAUGGAAUUGCUAGUAAUGGCGAGUCAGCAACAUCGCCGUGAAUACGUUCCCGGGCCUUGUA